rnacentral:rRNA from 1 species
AGGAGAGCUUGCUUUCCUAGAGACCGGCGCACGGGUGCGUAACGCGUAUGCAACCUACCUUAAUCAGGGGGAUAGCCCGAAGAAAUUCGGAUUAACACCGCAUAAAAACACAGGAUAGCAUUAUCCAAUGUUCAAAUAUUUAUAGGAUUAAGAUGGGCAUGCGUGUCAUUAGCUAGUUGGCGGGGUAAUGGCCCACCAAGGCGACGAUGACUAGGGGAUCUGAGAGGAUGACCCCCCACACUGGUACUGAGACACGGACCAGACUCCUACGGGAGGCAGCAGUAAGGAAUAUUGGUCAAUGGAGGCAACUCUGAACCAGCCAUGCCGCGUGCAGGAUGACUGCCCUAUGGGUUGUAAACUGCUUUUAUCCGGGAAUAAACCUGAUUACGAGUAAUCAGCUGAAUGUACCGGAAGAAUAAGGAUCGGCUAACUCCGUGCCAGCAGCCGCGGUAAUACGGAGGAUCCAAGCGUUAUCCGGAUUUAUUGGGUUUAAAGGGUGCGUAGGCGGCCUGUUAAGUCAGGGGUGAAAGACGGUAGCUCAACUAUCGCAGUGCCUUUGAUACUGAUGGGCUUGAAUGAACUAGAGGUAGGCGGAAUGAGACAAGUAGCGGUGAAAUGCAUAGAUAUGUCUCAGAACACCGAUUGCGAAGGCAGCUUACUAUGGUUUUAUUGACGCUGAUGCACGAAAGCGUGGGGAUCAAACAGGAUUAGAUACCCUGGUAGUCCACGCCCUAAACGAUGAACACUCGCUGUUGGCGAUACACAGUCAGCGGCUAAGCGAAAGCGUUAAGUGUUCCACCUGGGGAGUACGCUCGCAAGAGUGAAACUCAAAGGAAUUGACGGGGGCCCGCACAAGCGGAGGAGCAUGUGGUUUAAUUCGAUGAUACGCGAGGAACCUUACCCGGGCUGAAAGUUAGUGA